GGGAAGGAUGCCAUGGGAAGAUGGAGAACUAGAAUGAUGCAUCUACAAGUCAAGGAACACCAAAGAUUGUCAGAAAACCACCAGAAGAGACCAUAUGGUAUAAAGUAGAUCCACAAGCUCUUCAAGGACAGGUAAACUUAAACUCAUCAUGAAUCUUGAUUCCAGUACCUGUGUCCUUUUCACUAUCAAAUAUCCAGGAUGGAAGAGAUUUUCUCUCUAAAAAC